GGUGGGGGGAGUGGUAAGAAAGGUGUGUGCCAGGGAAGCAGCUGGGGAAAUGAGCAGAGGGAGGGGUACCUAAAAUUUGGAGAAUCCAAGAUGCAUUCCAUUAGGUUGGAAGAAACCGAAGCACAAUAUGAGAUGUUCUUCCAAUUUGCAUGUGGCUUGACUCUGGCAUUGGAGGAGGCUGAGGACAGAAAGGUAGGGAUGAGAAUGGAAUUGGAGCAGUUAGCAACAUGGUGCUCCAGCUGGCCUUAGCGGACAGAGCACAAGUGUUCAGUGUAGCCAUCAAUUGGGCAUAAACAUUGCAUUCUGCAAUUUCAGGUUGAACAGCACACCCUUCCCAUCUACCCAGAGUUGGUCAAGAGGGGGAGAGGUUGAAUGAGGAACCAUCUGGGGUGUGAGAAUGAAGAUAGGGUUUGGAAUGGUGAAGUAAUUGAGAGUUUACUUCUGCAUCAGGGGCUCUGUGGGGUCAUAUGAUAUUUGCUAGAUUAUUCAUAUAAAACAUUCUCACCACAGAUACUUAAGUACUUCUCAAGAACAUGGAAGCUUUUCAAAGCAAAACUCAAGAGAUAAGAUAAGUUGGGAAACGCUAAACAGGCAGUAUGUGUGGGUUAGAUCCUGAAUAUUUCUUCAAUUCAUCUUUAUUUUGAGUUCUCUCAAGAAAAUUCUGAACUCGCUAAGAAACACACACAGAUGAUAUUAUUCUCUUCUUCACACAAACAUCUGUGGUUAAAAAAUUAAAAGUGACCCUUCAAAAUGGCUGAAACAUGGAUUCCCAAUACGGAAGUUGCAAUAAAAUGGAGCAAAAUGAUUCUGAGGGAAUAGGUGAAGCGGAGGAUGAAUAAAAAACAGUCAAAACAUUUUGUAUGAACCUGAACAUUUAUUUUAUAUCCACUGGUAAUAUUUUAACCCUGUUUCUAAUAACCUGGCAUAGUU